AGAGGGUGCGGGGGCGGAACUCAACUGACCAGAGGCGCUGCGAGCGUCGAGGCUUGAUCGGAGCAUGCGCAUAGCUUUAUAAAACAGAUCAUGUAUAAGACUGGAAACAGUGAAUAGAUGAUGAGAGUAACCCAAGGCUGAGGCUUCCCUUGAGUUAAGUGGGCAAGAGAAAAAGAAAGAGAAAUGGUUCACCACUGGGUCAAUUGAAAAAAGGAAGAGAAUGUAAUCAGUGCAUGAAUGAUGGCACAAGAAAAAACUGAAAGUGUCAAGGGAGGCAUGGCAGCAAAGAAUUAGAAGCAAAUUAGUUGCCCUUUUAGAGAAUGGAUAUCAAUUGUGAUACAUGAAUGUAAGGGAAUAUCACUGUGUUGUAAGAAAAAAUUAAUAUGAAUGAAUACAAAGAAGCACAAGAAGACUUACAUGAACUGCAGCUAAAGAAAUGGGAAAAACAAGAUAUACAGUUAUGAUAACAGUGGACAUUAUUAUAAUAGUGGAAAGAACAACAGCAAAACAAUUGAAAGUGCUUUAAAAUUAUAACAAUAAAUCAUUGCCCCAAAGAAGAGAUAUGAGAAGGUACCUUCACAUCCAAAGACUUUUUUGAAAAGAUCUGAGUUUCUAGAUCUAAGUCCUCAUUUUGGUCCUGGAUUGCCUUGGAGCCCAGACACUGAAUAUAUUCAAGAGGAUCUGAGUUACACUUAUGAUCGAUCUUCAAAUGAGCUCCUUCUGAUAGUAAGCAUUGGGAUGUGAUAACAUUGACUAUUUGUGCCUUGGGAUUCUCUAACAUCAGUUAGAUGGAUAUUUGCUAAUUUGAACUUCAAGAAAUAUUUGGUACACAAAGCAUAAAGCCCUUGAAUGACAAAUCAUAAGCUAUAAGUUAAGAUUGCCAAGCUCCUACAAUAAAAGGACUCAAACCUCA